rnacentral:rRNA from 1 species
AAAGAACCUGAAACCGUGUACGUACAAGCAGUGGGAGCACGCUUAGGCGUGUGACUGCGUACCUUUUGUAUAAUGGGUCAGCGACUUAUAUUCUGUAGCAAGGUUAACCGAAUAGGGGAGCCGAAGGGAAACCGAGUCUUAACUGGGCGUUAAGUUGCAGGGUAUAGACCCGAAACCCGGUGAUCUAGCCAUGGGCAGGUUGAAGGUUGGGUAACACUAACUGGAGGACCGAACCGACUAAUGUUGAAAAAUUAGCGGAUGACUUGUGGCUGGGGGUGAAAGGCCAAUCAAACCGGGAGAUAGCUGGUUCUCCCCGAAAGCUAUUUAGGUAGCGCCUCGUGAAUUCAUCUCCGGGGGUAGAGCACUGUUUCGGCAAGGGGGUCAUCCCGACUUACCAACCCGAUGCAAACUGCGAAUACCGGAGAAUGUUAUCACGGGAGACACACGGCGGGUGCUAACGUCCGUCGUGAAGAGGGAAACAACCCAGACCGCCAGCUAAGGUCCCAAAGUCAUGGUUAAGUGGGAAACGAUGUGGGAAGGCCCAGACAGCCAGGAUGUUGGCUUAGAAGCAGCCAUCAUUUAAAGAAAGCGUAAUAGCUCACUGGUCGAGUCGGCCUGCGCGGAAGAUGUAACGGGGCUAAACCAUGCACCGAAGCUGCGGCAGCGACGCUGAUGCGUUGUUGGGUAGGGGAGCGUUCUGUAAGCCUGUGAAGGUGUGCUGUGAGGCAUGCUGGAGGUAUCAGAAGUGCGAAUGCUGACAUAAGUAACGAUAAAGCGGGUGAAAAGCCCGCUCGCCGGAAGACCAAGGGUUCCUGUCCAACGUUAAUCGGGGCAGGGUGAGUCGACCCCUAAGGCGAGGCCGAAAGGCGUAGUCGAUGGGAAACAGGUUAAUAUUCCUGUACUUGGUGUUACUGCGAAGGGGGGACGGAGAAGGCUAUGUUGGCCGGGCGACGGUUGUCCCGGUUUAAGCGUGUAGGCUGGUUUUCCAGGCAAAUCCGGAAAACUAAGGCUGAGGCGUGAUGACGAGGCACUACGGUGCUGAAGCAACAAAUGCCCUGCUUCCAGGAAAAGCCUCUAAGCAUCAGGUAACAUCAAAUCGUACCCCAAACCGACACAGGUGGUCAGGUAGAGAAUACCAAGGCGCUUGAGAGAACUCGGGUGAAGGAACUAGGCAAAAUGGUGCCGUAACUUCGGGAGAAGGCACGCUGAUAUGUAGGUGAAGUCCCUCGCGGAUGGAGCUGAAAUCAGUCGAAGAUACCAGCUGGCUGCAACUGUUUAUUAAAAACACAGCACUGUGCAAACACGAAAGUGGACGUAUACGGUGUGACGCCUGCCCGGUGCCGGAAGGUUAAUUGAUGGGGUCAGCGCAAGCGAAGCUCUUGAUCGAAGCCCCGGUAAACGGCGGCCGUAACUAUAACGGUCCUAAGGUAGCGAAAUUCCUUGUCGGGUAAGUUCCGACCUGCACGAAUGGCGUAAUGAUGGCCAGGCUGUCUCCACCCGAGACUCAGUGAAAUUGAACUCGCUGUGAAGAUGCAGUGUACCCGCGGCAAGACGGAAAGACCCCGUGAACCUUUACUAUAGCUUGACACUGAACAUUGAGCCUUGAUGUGUAGGAUAGGUGGGAGGCUUUGAAGUGUGGACGCCAGUCUGCAUGGAGCCGACCUUGAAAUACCACCCUUUAAUGUUUGAUGUUCUAACGUUGACCCGUAAUCCGGGUUGCGGACAGUGUCUGGUGGGUAGUUUGACUGGGGCGGUCUCCUCCUAAAGAGUAACGGAGGAGCACGAAGGUUGGCUAAUCCUGGUCGGACAUCAGGAGGUUAGUGCAAUGGCAUAAGCCAGCUUGACUGCGAGCGUGACGGCGCGAGCAGGUGCGAAAGCAGGUCAUAGUGAUCCGGUGGUUCUGAAUGGAAGGGCCAUCGCUCAACGGAUAAAAGGUACUCCGGGGAUAACAGGCUGAUACCGCCCAAGAGUUCAUAUCGACGGCGGUGUUUGGCACCUCGAUGUCGGCUCAUCACAUCCUGGGGCUGAAGUAGGUCCCAAGGGUAUGGCUGUUCGCCAUUUAAAGUGGUACGCGAGCUGGGUUUAGAACGUCGUGAGACAGUUCGGUCCCUAUCUGCCGUGGGCGCUGGAGAACUGAGGGGGGCUGCUCCUAGUACGAGAGGACCGGAGUGGACGCAUCACUGGUGUUCGGGUUGUCAUGCCAAUGGCACUGCCCGGUAGCUAAAUGCGGAAGAGAUAAGUGCUGAAAGCAUCUAAGCACGAAACUUGCCCCGAGAUGAGUUCUCCCUGACUCCUUGAGAGUCCUGAAGGAACGUUGAAG